rnacentral:rRNA from 1 species
GGAAUUUUCCGCAAUGGGCGAAAGCCUGACGGAGCAAUGCCGCGUGUGUGAAGAAGGUCUUCGGAUUGUAAAGCACUUUAAGUUGGGAGGAAGGGCAGUAAAUUAAUACUUUGCUGUUUUGACGUUACCGACAGAAUAAGCACCGGCUAACUCUGUGCCAGCAGCCGCGGUAAUACAGAGGGUGCAAGCGUUAAUCGGAAUUACUGGGCGUAAAGCGCGCGUAGGUGGUUUGUUAAGUUGGAUGUGAAAUCCCCGGGCUCAACCUGGGAACUGCAUUCAAAACUGACUGACUAGAGUAUGGUAGAGGGUGGUGGAAUUUCCUGUGUAGCGGUGAAAUGCGUAGAUAUAGGAAGGAACACCAGUGGCGAAGGCGACCACCUGGACUAAUACUGACACUGAGGUGCGAAAGCGUGGGGAGCAAACAGGAUUAGAUACCCGUG